UCUCGAUAGCGUAAAAGUUAACUCAGAUUUGUAUAGAGUUGAAACGGUUGUCUACGUUUGCCGCCAGGGGCGCUGUUCCGACUGGACACAAAUUCGAGUUAACUUUUACGCUAUCGA
rnacentral:pre_miRNA from 9 species